rnacentral:rRNA from 1 species
GGUAAUACCGGAUGCUCCGCUCCAUCGCAUGGUGGGGUGGGAAAUGCUUUUGCGGCAUGGGAUGGGGUCGCGUCCUAUCAGCUUGUUGGCGGGGUGAUGGCCCACCAAGGCGUUGACGGGUAGCCGGCCUGAGAGGGUGACCGGCCACAUUGGGACUGAGAUACGGCCCAGACUCCUACGGGAGGCAGCAGUGGGGAAUAUUGCACAAUGGGCGCAAGCCUGAUGCAGCGACGCCGCGUGCGGGAUGGAGGCCUUCGGGUUGUAAACCGCUUUUGUUCAAGGGCAAGGCACGGUUUCGGCCGUGUUGAGUGGAUUGUUCGAAUAAGCACCGGCUAACUACGUGCCAGCAGCCGCGGUAAUACGUAGGGUGCGAGCGUUAUCCGGAUUUAUUGGGCGUAAAGGGCUCGUAGGCGGUUCGUCGCGUCCGGUGUGAAAGUCCAUCGCCUAACGGUGGAUCUGCGCCGGGUACGGGCGGGCUGGAGUGCGGUAGGGGAGACUGGAAUUCCCGGUGUAACGGUGGAAUGUGUAGAUAUCGAAAAAGAAACCACCACCCCCUUU